rnacentral:rRNA from 1 species
AGCGAACGCUGGCGGCAGGCCUAACACAUGCAAGUCGAACGAACUCUUCGGAGUUAGUGGCGGACGGGUGAGUAACACGUGGGAACGUGCCUUUUGGUUCGGAAUAACUCAGGGAAACUUGGGCUAAUACCGAAUGUGCCCUUCGGGGGAAAGAUUUAUCGCCAUUAGAGCGGCCCGCGUCUGAUUAGCUAGUUGGUGAGGUAACGGCUCACCGAGGCGACGAUCAGUAGCUGGUCUGAGAGGAUGACCAGCCACACUGGGACUGAGACACGGCCCAGACUCCUACGGGAGGCAGCAGUGGGGAAUCUUGCGCAAUGGGCGAAAGCCUGACGCAGCCAUGCCGCGUGAAUGAUGAAGGUCUUAGGAUUGUAAAAUUCUUUCACCGGGGACGAUAAUGACGGUACCCUGAGAAGAAGCCCCGGCUAACUUCGUG